UGGGCUAUAGCCAAGCGGUAAGGCAACGGACUUUGACUCCGUCACUCGUUGGUUCGAAUCCAGCUAGCCCAGUUA
rnacentral:tRNA from 3 species